UCUUCCCUCUUUCUUCGUGCCUAAUACAUGCAAGUCGAGCGAACGGACGAGAAGCUUGCUUCUCUGAUGUUAGCGGCGGACGGGUGAGUAACACGUGGAUAACCUACCUAUAAGACUGGGAUAACUUCGGGAAACCGGAGCUAAUACCGGAUGAUAUUUUGAACCGCAUGGUUCAAAAGUGAAAGACGGUCUUGCUGUCACUUAUAGAUGGAUCCGCGCUGCAUUAGCUAGUUGGUAAGGUAACGGCUUACCAAGGCAACGAUGCAUAGCCGACCUGAGAGGGUGAUCGGCCACACUGGAACUGAGACACGGUCCAGACUCCUACGGGAGGCAGCAGUAGGGAAUCUUCCGCAAUGGGCGAAAGCUUGACGGAGCAACGCCGCGUGAGUGAUGAAGGUCUUCGGAUCGUAAAACUCUGUUAUUAGGGAAGAACAUAUGUGUAAGUAACUGUGCACAUCUUGACGGUACCUAAUCAGAAAGCCACGGCUAACUACGUG
rnacentral:rRNA from 1 species